ensembl:lncRNA
GUCGGUCUCAAAUGUUACAAUGUCCUCCAUUUUCCAAUUUCAAAUUCUCACCCCUGUUGAACCAGUUCUCCCUUUCCUGGUACAACCAACUCGUAACCAUCACACACAUCGCCUUGCAUGGUUGACUCUGCCGUCGGUGUGUCAAUGUGUGUAUUAACCGAUGUAAGUCGCUUUGGGUAAAAGCGUCUGCUAAAUGCCCUAAUUGUAAUUGUAUUAACUGGAUAGUUGCUCUUGCGUUGAUGUAGACCCUGAGAGGCCGGUGACCCUGAGGUCCCCCUGCCCAACGAGAGGCCUUCCCCUGAGACCCAGUGCUGGGGCGUCCGUCCCUCAACCUCAUGCUAACGCCACUGCUACUGCUAGCCCGGCGGGAGGCGGCGGCGGCGGUGGCCUGUGUCUCAACAGCCCAUCCCCUCCUGGUAGCACGUCCACCAACUUUUCCCUGGACCGCGGCCGGGCCCAUCUGGACAGCGGCGAGCGGCAGUUGAUGAGGGACGUCCGGGAAUUGAGGCGGAAGCUCGCCAGCGCUCAGGCCCGGGGAGGAAGAGGAGGAGCCAGCGACUCUGCUGCUUCCUCACAAGCAGCCUGGUCACCAACACCCGCCCCACAGUGACCUUCUGCCUCACCUUAACGUGCUUGUGGAUGAUGGAGUCCAUACAUCAUAUAGGAGUUCAGCCUCAGGGCUUUGUGCUAGGCAGGCAGGAUGUUAUGCCAUGGGGGUCUUAUCUGCGUCUUGACAAUCAAGAAGCUUUCGGAGACAUGGGAACUUAAAUUACUUUAAAAUGCUAUUUUAACAUCCCGUGGUUUCAGUGAUUUCUGUAAAUAUUUGUUUUAACAUGUUUUUUUAUCGUCAUUUAGAUUUAAUGUAUUUUGUGUUGUGCUGUGAGGACAUUUUGACACUUUGAUUAAAAAUAA